rnacentral:rRNA from 1 species
GAACUGUGCAAACGUUAUUCGGAAUCACUGGGCUUAAAGGGUGCGUAGGCGGCUUGUCAAGUAGGGUGUGAAAGCCCCCGGCUUAACCGGGGAAUUGCGCCCUAAACUGACGAGCUGGAGUGGGACAGGGGUGUGUGGAACUUCCGGUGGAGCGGUGAAAUGUGUUGAUAUCGGAAGGAACGCCGGUGGCGAAAGCGACACACUGGGUCUCAACUGACGCUGAGGCACGAAAGCCAGGGGAGCGAACGGGAUUAGAUACCCCAGUAGUCCUGGCCGUAAACGAUGAACACUAGUAGGAAGAAACCUAGUUUUUUCCUCCGGAGCUAAAGUGUUAAGUGUUCCGCCUGGGGAGUAUGGUCGCAAGGCUG